GCCAGUAUGGUGUAGUGGUUUGCAGGCUGGACUACAACUCUUGAGAUCAGAGUUCAAUUCCCCACUUGGACA